rfam:Trichobilharzia regenti genome assembly, scaffold: TRE_scaffold0008964
GUACUGAUGAAGAGUCCCAAACUAGGAUGGACGAAACAGCUGUCCAGCAC